AUGAGUAGGGAUAACCUCGAGAAGAGAAAAUUCAGGAAUCCUAAAGACCGUGUUUUCUGUUCUUGUAAUGAGUCCAUUGAACAUAUGUUUUUUGAUUGCAUAGUAGCAAAGCAAGUGUGGGGUAAAGUUAGUGAGUUCUUUGGUAGACCUUUAGGGAGCAAUGUUACUUCUAUUGCUUGUCUUUGGGCUGCAGGAAAAAGUCUAGAUGCUUUAAAUACAAUUUGUGCUGCUGUUCUCGGCCUUGUGGAAAAACAGGAAAAUAUUGUUUUUAAUGGAGUUUCUUGGAUAUCUCUCAACCAGAUCUGGUGUCUAGUCAUACCGCUGGUUAGAAAAAGGGGCCUGAUCUACAAAGAUCAUAUACUGGACAAGGUGGAGCAAUUCUGCUAA
rnacentral:rRNA from 1 species